UUGAUGAAGAGUUCCAGCGGAAGCAUCAGCCAGUCAUUAAUUCCAGGGGAGGGUGCACGUGGAACCAGAAUGGGUGGCUGGCCAGGCAGGAGGCUGCCCCUCACCAGGGAGAGGAAAGAGCGCUCCUCUCUCCAGCCUUGCUGUGGCCUUUAACUUGCUUCACCGGGUGUCCAGAAUCACAGCUCUUUACAAGGCUGAAACCGAAGCCGCCUGAGGUCCCCGGGAGACUUGCUAAAACUUCAACUGCACCCAGUUUAGCGGAGCAACUUGAAAGUUAAUCAGCGGUGAGGGACAG
rnacentral:lncRNA from 1 species